UGGGUAACGUGCCCCGAUGACUGGGACAACCCGGGGAAACCCGGGCUAAUACCGGAUAUGCCCCCUGACAUCUGUCAGGUGUGUAAAGGAAGCUUCGGCCUCCGCAUCGGGAUCGGCCCGCGGCGCAUUAGCUUGUUGGUGGGGUAAUGGCCUACCAAGGCAGCGAUGCGUAGCUGGUCUGAGAGGAUGAUCAGCCACACUGGAACUGAGACACGGUCCAGACUCCUAGGAGG
rnacentral:rRNA from 1 species